rnacentral:rRNA from 1 species
AGGUUGGCUCAGAAGCAGCCAUCCUUUAAAGAGUGCGUAACAGCUCACUAGUCGAGUGACCCUGCGCCGAAAAUGUACCGGGGCUAAGCCUGAUACCGAAACUGCGGAUUGUAGGAAACUAUAGUGGUAGGGGAGCGUUGUAUACGAGUAGAAGCCGUACCGUGAGGAGCGGUGGAUUGUAUAGAAGUGAGAAUGCCGGUGUGAGUAGCGAGAUGUAGGUGAGAAUCCUACACACCGAAAGCCCAAGGAUUCCAGGGGAAGGUUCGUCCGCCCUGGGUAAGUCGGGACCUAACGCGAGGCCGAAAGGCGUAGUGGAUGGAAAGCAGGCGAAAGAUUCCUGCACCCGUAUAUGGAGCGAAGGAGUGACGGAGACGGAUAGUGUGACCCUCUUAAUGGAUUGAGGGCGAAGCGAAGCGGCUGGUUACCAGGCAAAUCCGGUAACUGAAAGGCUAGAGCGUGACAGGUAAGCGAAAUCCAAGGAAAGUAGCGAAGCACAUGAUGACGGCUUCCAGGAAAAGCUUCUGGUAAUGCAUAUGCGGCCCGUACCAAAACCGACACAGGUGGGCAGGGAGAGAAUCCCGAGGUGAGCGAGAGAACUGUUGCCAAGGAACUCGGCAAAAUGACUCCGUAAGUUAGCGAGAAGGAGUGCUUAAGCAAUUAAGCCGCAGUGAAGAGGCCCAAGCGACUGUUUAACUAAAACACAGCUCUCUGCGAAGUCGCAAGACGAAGUAUAGGGGGUGACACCUGCCCGGUGCUGGAAGGUUAAGAGGAUCUGUUAAGAGCGAUCUGAAGCAGUGAUCCGAAGCCCCAGUGAACGGCGGCCGUAACUAUAACGGUCCUAAGGUAGCGAAAUUCCUUGUCAGGUAAGUUCUGACCCGCACGAAAGGUGUAACGAUUUGGGCGCUGUCUCGGCAGCAGACUCGGUGAAAUCUUAGUACCUGUGAAAAUGCAGGUUACCCGCAACUAGACGGAAAGACCCCAUGGAGCUUUACUGCAGCCUGAUAUUGAAUUCUGGUCAUACAUGUACAGGAUAGGUGGGAGACAAAGAGACGUGCACGCCAGUGUACGAGGAGUCGCCGUUGGGAUACCACUCUUGUGUGACCGGGGUUCUAACCUGGUAUCGAAAACAGGUACGGGGAGAGUGUCAGGUGGGCAGUUUGACUGGGGCGGUCGCCUCCCAAAGAGUAACGGAGGCGCCCAAAGGUACGCUCAGAUUGGAUGGAAACCAAUCGGCGAGUGCAAUUGCAGAAGCGUGCUUGACUGUGAGACUUACAAGUCGAACAGGGACGAAAGUCGGGAAUAGUGAUCCGGCGGUGCCGAAUGGAAGGGCCGUCGCUCAACGGAUAAAAGCUACCCUGGGGAUAACAGGCUGAUCUCGCCCAAGAGUUCACAUCGACGGCGAGGUUUGGCACCUCGAUGUCGGCUCAUCGCAUCCUGGAGCUGGAUUCGGUUCCAAGGGUUGGGCUGUCCGCCCAUUAAAGCGGUACGCGAGCUGGGUUCAGAACGUCGUGAGACAGUUCGGUCCCUAUCUGUUGUGGGCGAAGGAGAUCUGCGGAGAGCUGUCCUCAGUACGAGAGGACCGGGAUGGACCUACCGCUGGUGCACCGGUUGUUCCGCCAGGGGCAUAGCCGGGUAGCUAAGUAGGGAAAGGAUAAGCGCUGAAAGCAUCUAAGCACGAAGCCUACUCCAAGAUGAGAUCUCCCAUUCGCGAGAAGUAAGACCCCUUAAAGACGAUAAGGUAGAUAGGCCAGGGAUGGAAGUGCAGUGAUGUACGGAGUUGACUGGUACUAAUCGGUCGAGGACUUAAUCAG